UUGACCUCGGAUCAGGUAGGGAUACCCGCUGAACUUAAGCAUAUCAAUAAGCGGAGGAAAAGAAACCAACAGGGAUUGCCCUAGUAACGGCGAGUGAAGCGGCAACAGCUCAAAUUUGAAAUCUGGCGCAAGCCCGAGUUGUAAUUUGUAGAGGAUGCUUCAGGGCAGCGGCCGGUCUAAGUUCCUUGGAACAGGACGUCAUAGAGGGUGAGAAUCCCGUAUGCGACCGGUUGGCACCCGUCACGUAGCUCCUUCGACGAGUCGAGUUGUUUGGGAAUGCAGCUCUAAAUGGGAGGUAAAUUUCUUCUAAAGCUAAAUACCGGCCAGAGACCGAUAGCGCACAAGUAGAGUGAUCGAAAGAUGAAAAGCACUUUGGAAAGAGAGUUAAAAAGCACGUGAAAUUGUUGAAAGGGAAGCGCAUGCAACCAGACUUGUCGGCGGUGUUCCGCCGGUCUUCUGACCGGUCUACUCGCCGCCGGCAGGCCAGCAUCAUCUGGGCGCGCCGGAUAAAGGCGCGGGGAAUGUGGCUCCUCGGAGCGUUAUAGCCCCGCGCACAAUACGGCGCCGCUCGGGUGAGGUCCGCGCUUCGGCUAGGAUGCUGGCGUAAUGGUUGUCUGCGGCCCGUCUUGAAACACGGACCAAGGAGUCUAACAUCUAUGCGAGUGUUCGGGUGUCAAACCCCUACGCGUAAUGAAAGUGAACGGAGGUGGGAAGCGCAAGCUGCACCAUCGACCGAUCCUGAUGUCUUCGGAUGGAUUUGAGUAAGAGCAUAGCUGUUGGGACCCGAAAGAUGGUGAACUAUGCCUGAAUAGGGUGAAGCCAGAGGAAACUCUGGUGGAGGCUCGCAGCGGUUCUGACGUGCAAAUCGAUCGUCAAAUUUGGGUAUAGGGGCGAAAGACUAAUCGAAC
rnacentral:rRNA from 1 species